UAGGGAAUCUUCGGCAAUGGGGGCAACCCUGACCGAGCAACGCCGCGUGAGUGAAGAAGGUUUUCGGAUCGUAAAGCUCUGUUGUAAGUCAAGAACGAGUGUGAGAGUGGAAAGUUCACACUGUGACGGUAGCUUACCAGAAAGGGACGGCUAACUACGUGCCAGCAGCCGCGGUAAUACGUAGGUCCCGAGCGUUGUCCGGAUUUAUUGGGCGUAAAGCGAGCGCAGGCGGUUUGAUAAGUCUGAAGUUAAAGGCUGUGGCUCAACCAUAGUUCGCUUUGGAAACUGUCAAACUUGAGUGCAGAAGGGGAGAGUGGAAUUCCAUGUGUAGCGGUGAAAUGCGUAGAUAUAUGGAGGAACACCGGUGGCGAAAGCGGCUCUCUGGUCUGUAACUGACGCUGAGGCUCGAAAGCGUGGGGAGCAAACAGGAUUAGAUACCCUGGUAGUCCACGCCGUAAACGAUGAGUGCUAGGUGUUGGGUCCUUUCCGGGACUCAGUGCCGCAGCUAACGCAUUAAGCACUCCGCCUGGGGAGUACGACCGCAAGGUUG
rnacentral:rRNA from 1 species